rnacentral:rRNA from 1 species
CCCCAGUAAACGGCGGCCGUAACUAUAACGGUCCUAAGGUAGCGAAAUUCCUUGUCGGGUAAGUUCCGACCUGCACGAAUGGCGUAAUGAUGGCCAGGCUGUCUCCACCCGAGACUCAGUGAAAUUGAACUCGCUGUGAAGAUGCAGUGUACCCGCGGCAAGACGGAAAGACCCCGUGAACCUUUACUAUAGCUUGACACUGAACAUUGAGCCUUGAUGUGUAGGAUAGGUGGGAGGCUUUGAAGUGUGGACGCCAGUCUGCAUGGAGCCAACCUUGAAAUACCACCCUUUAACGUUUGAUGUUCUAACCUAGGCCCAUAAACUGGGUCGGGGACCGUGUCUGGUGGGUAGUUUGACUGGGGCGGUCUCCUCCUAAAGAGUAACGGAGGAGCACGAAGGUUGGCUAAGCAUGGUCGGACAUCAUGCGGUUAGUGCAAAGGCAUAAGCCAGCUUGACUGCGAGAGUGACGGCUCGAGCAGGUACGAAAGUAGGUCUUAGUGAUCCGGUGGUUCUGAAUGGAAGGGCCAUCGCUCAACGGAUAAAAGGUACUCCGGGGAUAACAGGCUGAUACCGCCCAAGAGUUCAUAUCGACGGCGGUGUUUGGCACCUCGAUGUCGGCUCAUCACAUCCUGGGGCUGAAGUAGGUCCCAAGGGUAUGGCUGUUCGCCAUUUAAAGUGGUACGCGAGCUGGGUUUAGAACGUCGUGAGACAGUUCGGUCCCUAUCUGCCGUGGGCGUUGGAAGAUUGAGAGGGGUUGCUCCUAGUACGAGAGGACCGGAGUGAACGCACCACUGGUGUUCGGGUUGUCAUGCCAAUGGCAUUGCCCGGUAGCUAAGUGCGGAAGAGAUAACCGCUGAAAGCAUCUAAGCGGGAAACUUGCCUCGAGAUGAGUCUUCCCUGUCGCUUUAAGCGACCUAAAGGAACGUUUAAGACUAAGACGUUGAUAGGCUGGGUGUGUAAGCGUAGCGAUACGUUGAGCUAACCAGUACUAAUGAACCGUGAGGCUUAACCUGACAACACCG